rnacentral:lncRNA from 1 species
AUGGUAAUAUGGAUAUCUCCACUGUUUUAUCUCUGAUAAAUAACAGUCGAAGACUAAAUUAAUUAAAUUAAUUUGUUCUCUCUCUAAUAACUUAGUUCUUAGCAAAACAUGUCAAUGGUAUGAGAAGAGGCAGAGGUCUUGAGUUCAAGUCUCGCUAUCACACAUUUCUGAAAAUUGUGCAGGGUCAGACUUCAAUAAAACAAUGAAACAGGCCCAGCUAGUGAGGUGUCUGUUGAGGGCUGAAUUUAAAUAUUAUGUCCUCUCUCCAAGAACUCAAGGUUGUAGAUGUAGUAGUUAAACAUGAUAUUUGACUAUAUCAAGAAUGAUUAUUUUUCAGGUAUCACGUUCCUCGAUCCUGGCUCCGUCCAACUGGAAACUUGUUGGUUAUAUUUGAAGAAUGGGGCGGAAAUCCCAACGGGAUAUUCUUGGCAAAAAGAGAAUUAGCAAGCGUAUGUGCAGAUAUAUAUGAAUGGCAGCCAACAUUAAUGAAUUGGCAAAUGCAAGCAUCAGGGAAAGUCAACAGACCAUUGAGGCCUAAAGCUCAUCUCUCGUGCGCUCCCG